rnacentral:piRNA from 1 species
UGCUGUUUGGGUGAUAAAUGUCAGGGUUA